GAGGGCAAGGGGAGACGCAGAGAGGCUGACCAUGUCAGCUGUUGUGAGCACACACAGUCAGCUCCACACACUUCCACACGUGACUUCAUGAGCACACGGUCAGCUCCACGCACUUCCACACGUGACUUCCUGAGCGCACACAGUCAGCUCCUCAUGCAGCUCCUUGCACUUCCACACGUGACUUCCUGAGUGCACACGGUCAACUCCUCACAUGGCUCCACGCACUUCCACACGUGACUUCCUGAGAGCACAGCUCCCUAUGUGGCUUCACGCACUUCACACAUGACUUCAAGAUUGCACACGGUCAGCUCCUCUCGUCACUCUACACACUCCUACGUGACUUCCUGAGCACACACGAUCAGCUACUCACACGGCUCCAUGCACUUCCACACGUGACUUCCUGAGUACACACGGUCAGCUCCUCACGCAGCUUCACGCACUUCCACACGUGACUUGAGUGCACACGGUCAGCUCCUCACGUGGCUCCAUGCACUUCCACACGUGACUUUUGAGUGCACAACCCCGGUCCUGCAGGGAGCUGGCCCUCUGGCCUUCCAACCUGAAAUGGUCACCCUCGUUGUGGGGAGUGGAACUGACCGUCGGCCACCAUACACUUUGCCUUUGCAUCCGCAAAAGCUGCCGCAGCCGCAGUGGAGUUGGUGGGGGGCGCUGGAGCGGGCCGGGCCCCUGGGCUCCUCAGGGCUGCUGCUGCCGUCACAGCGGGAGGCGGGUGCUCCUCUCAUUGGAAACCAGAGCUGUUCCAUUUCGGAGAAAAGGAAGAAGGGCAAAGCAACUAGCAGAGCCCUUUGAAGAAUUAGCGGAAAGGACAGCAGCCCACUAAGGAGGGGCGUCGGGCGGGUGGAGCCCAGCCAUGACCCCUAGAGCCGGAGGAACCAGAGCUCGGGGCUGGCACUUGGCAGAGCAGGUAAGACGCCGGGCGGGCGGGCGGGCAGGGCACCAGCACCCCAUCUCAGAGAGCCUGGGUUCCAGUCCCAGCUCCACUGUGAGUUUCAAGUCUCAGCCAGCAGGUGCUGGCCCGGCCCUUGGGCUCCUGCCUCCCUGCUGUGGCCUUGCUGGGCUGGACCAGCCCACGCCCUGUUGUCGCAGGCACUGGGGGUUGAACCAGCAAACGCGAGCUCUGAGC
rnacentral:lncRNA from 1 species